rnacentral:rRNA from 1 species
GACGAACGCUGGCGGCGUGCUUAACACAUGCAAGUCGAACGGAAAGGCCUCUUUCGGGGGGUACUCGAGUGGCGAACGGGUGAGUAACACGUGAGUAACCUGCCCUUGACUUUGGGAUAACUUCAGGAAACUGGGGCUAAUACCGGAUAGGAGCUCCUGCUGCAUGGUGGGGGUUGGAAAGUUUAGGCGGUUGGGGAUGGACUCGCGGCUUAUCAGCUUGUUGGUGGGGUAGUGGCUUACCAAGGCUUUGACGGGUAGCCGGCCUGAGAGGGUGACCGGCCACAUUGGGACUGAGAUACGGCCCAGACUCCUACGGGAGGCAGCAGUGGGGAAUAUUGCACAAUGGGUGGAAGCCUGAUGUAGCAACGCCGUGUGCGGGAUGACGGCCUUCGGGUUGUAAACCGCUUUCGCUCAUGACGAAGCUUUGUGUGACGGUAGUGGGUAAAGAAGCACCGGCUAACUACGUG